rnacentral:tRNA from 1 species
GCCAACGUGACGGAAUAGGUAGACGUAUCGCGACAGCGAUCCCCUUGGGUGCAGGUUCAAACCCUGUCGUUGGCG